rnacentral:misc_RNA from 1 species
AACCAUAGAAACCUGCGGAGUACCUGCGGAAGGAUCAUCAUUGAAAACAAAUUUGGACAAGGGGAUUGUGAUUGACGGGGGAGGGGAAGGUUUUAUUUCCUGAGCCUUGAGAGAACAACCUCUUGGACAAACAACCAAUCUUCAUGACUAGGAAAAAACACAGUAAAGUAAACCAGUGGUUUGGGGGGGGGGCAUAAACAACAAACAAGUUCUUGUCUGACAAGUAGUGUUUGGUGAUAC